rnacentral:tRNA from 1 species
CGUUCUAUGGCCGAACUGGUGAAGGCGGAUUACAGGCGAGGAUGUGGGUUCGAGUCCCGCUGGAACGG